UCUUCCAAUCCAUCGAUUUCUGCUAUAUAACUCUAGGCUCUAUUUGAUAAAUCUCUUCUUGUUGUUAUUUUCCCCUCAUGAACAAACUGGUUUCUGGAACUCCAAAUCAUCCAUGCAGCACAGCAAAAGAGGCGACAUUGUUUACUGUUACUCAUGGUGAAAACCCAGGCAUUGUCUAAACACAUGGUUGCUAUCUUCUUCUGCAUUUCGACACCGAGGGCAGGAGAUAUCUGAAGCCACUCUUUUUAGUAUUAAAUUUUUUAAAGUAGGAAUAAAGUUCCAUGAUAGACGCCAAAUAGUGAUGACAAUUUUUUAUGGGAGAUGUAAAUUCCAUAGUUUUCUAUAUAAAUUUUUUAUUUCGGUCUGUAUUAAAUAAGCACUAGGACCCAUAUUUGCCUAUUGUAAUAGUUUAUAGGCACUUCUGACUGAAAAUUCGCUAGAAUGUUCUCCUCACCAGACUUGAAAAUCAUUAUGUUCUUCUUUCGCCAAA